rnacentral:rRNA from 1 species
AUUGAACGCUGGCGGCAUGCUUUACACAUGCAAGUCGAACGGCAGCGCGGGCUUCGGCCUGGCGGCGAGUGGCGAACGGGUGAGUAAUACAUCGGAACGUGCCCAGUAGUGGGGGAUAGCUCGGCGAAAGCCGGAUUAAUACAGCAUACGACCUGAGGGUGAAAGCGGGGGAUCUUCGGACCUCGCGCUAUUGGAGCGGCCGAUGGCAGAUUAGCUAGUUGGUGGGGUAAAGGCCUACCAAGGCGACGAUCUGUAGCUGGUCUGAGAGGACGACCAGCCACACUGGGACUGAGACACGGCCCAGACUCCUACGGGAGGCAGCAGUGGGGAAUUUUGGACAAUGGGCGAAAGCCUGAUCCAGCAAUGCCGCGUGUGUGAUGAAGGCCUUCGGGUUGUAAAGCACUUUUGGCGGGAACGAAAAGGACUGUGCCAAUACCACGGUUCGAUGACGGUACCCGCAGAAUAAGCACCGGCUAACUACGUG